rnacentral:rRNA from 1 species
UCAAGCGUUUAAGAGCAUUUGAUGGAUGCCUUGGCACACAGAGGCGAUGAAGGACGUAGUACGUUGCGAUAAGCUUCGGGGAGUUACGAACAAACUUUGAUCCGAAGAUUUCCGAAUGGGGCAACCCAACUCUUUUGAGUUAUUGCUAACUGAAUACAUAGGUUAGUAAAGCGAACCCAGCGAACUGAAACAUCUAAGUAGCUGGAGGAAAGGAUAUCAACCGAUACUCCGUAAGUAGUGGCGAGCGAAAGCGGAUCAGGCCAGUGGUUUUAAUUGUACAACCAAAAUUACCUGGAAAGGUAAACCGUAGAGAGUGAUAGUCUCGUAUGGGUAAUGACGAUUAAAAUCCUUGAGUAAGACGGGACACGUGAAAUCCUGUCCGAAUAUGGGGGGACCACCCUCCAAGCCUAAGUACUACUGUGUGACCGAUAGUGAACUAGUACCGUGAGGGAAAGGUGAAAAGAACCCCGACGAGGGGAGUGAAAUAGAUCCUGAAAUUGAAUGCUUACAAGCUGUCGAAGCCCGCAAGGGUGACGGCGUACCUUUUGUAUAAUGGGUCAGCGAGUUAGUUUAAGUUGCAAGCUUAAGCCGUGAGGUGUAGGCGUAGCGAAAGCGAGUCUGAAUAGGGCGCUAGUAUCUUGAAUUAAACCCGAAACCGAGUGAUCUAGCCAUGAGCAGGUUGAAGAUAAGGUAAUACUUAUUGGAGGACCGAACCAUUAGACGUUGAAAAGUCUUUGGAUGACUUGUGGUUAGGGGUGAAAGGCCAAUCAAACUCGGAUAUAGCUGGUUCUCCGCGAAAACUAUUUAGGUAGUGCGUCAUAUGAAUACCAUCGGGGGUAAAGCACUGGAUGGGCAAGGGGGAAGAAAUUCUUACUAAGUCCAACCAAACUCUGAAUACCGAUGAGUAAUAUAUGGCAGACAGACUACGGGUGCUAAGGUCCGUGGUCGAGAGGAAAACAGUCCAGACCAACAGCUAAGGUCCCCAAGUUAUUGUUAAGUGGGAAAGGAUGUCGGACGACCAAAACAGCCAGGAGGUUGGCUUAGAAGCAGCCAUCCUUUAAAGAAAGCGUAACAGCUCACUGGUCUAAAUAAGUUGUCCGGCGCCGAAGAUUUAACGGGGCUAAACAAUACACCGAAGCUUUGGACACAAUUUAUUGUGUGGUAGCGGAGCGUUCCGUACGUUGUUGAAGGGAGACUCGUGAGAGCUCCUGGAGAUAUCGGAAGUGAGAAUGCUGACAUGAGUAGCGACAAAAAGUGUGAGAAACACUUUCGCCGAAAAUCCAAGGGUUCCUGCGCAAGGCUAAUCCGCGCAGGGUGAGUCGGCUCCUAAGGCGAGGUCGAAAGACGUAGUCGAUGGGAAACAGGUUAAUAUUCCUGUACCUGAUGAGAUGUGACGGAUGACGUAUAUUGUAUACCCUUAUAAUGAUUGGGUGUGCAGUGAAGUUGUUCCAGGAAAUAGCCUCAUCAUUAAAGACCGUACCCGAAACCGACACAGGUGGAUAGGUAGAAUAUACCAAGGCGCUUGAGAGAACUAUGCUGAAGGAACUCGGCAAAAUACCUCCGUAACUUCGGGAGAAGGAGGACCUAUGUUUGGGCAACCAGAUGUAGGUGGCACAGAAAUGGGGGUAGCAACUGUUUAUUAAAAACACAGGACUCUGCAAAGCCGCAAGGCGAAGUAUAGGGUCUGACGCCUGCCCGGUGCCGGAAGAUUAAAGUGAGUGGUGCAAGCUACGAGCUGAAGUCCCGGUGAACGGCGGCCGUAACUAUAACGGUCCUAAGGUAGCGAAAUUCCUUGUCGGG